CAUUAAGACAGGCUGUUCAUUUCAUUCAAUUUGUUAUAAACCAGUACAGCGAUGUUGCGAAAUUUCCGGCCGUCGACUUUCACAACAAAUAUCAUUGAACAUCACAAUAUAAAGUCGAUAACUGCACUUAUUUUUUCUCUUUACUACAGAAUCGUUUUCCCUGUCCGUUGAGUUAUAAUUUCCAAAACUAACCAGUCGCUUUAACGUAAAAUAAGCGGGUAUUGGUGAACAAAAAUGCCCUUUGAUGACACGAAGUAACGGACGCCAUCUUGUCUUCU